GACGAACGCUGGCGGCGUGCUUAACACAUGCAAGUCGAACGGAAAGGCCCUGCUUUUGUGGGGUGCUCGAGUGGCGAACGGGUGAGUAACACGUGAGUAACCUGCCCUUGACUUUGGGAUAACUUCAGGAAACUGGGGCUAAUACCGGAUAGGAGCUCCUGCUGCAUGGUGGGGGUUGGAAAGUUUCGGCGGUUGGGGAUGGACUCGCGGCUUAUCAGCUUGUUGGUGGGGUAGUGGCUUACCAAGGCUUUGACGGGUAGCCGGCCUGAGAGGGUGACCGGCCACAUGGGGACUGAGAUACGGACCAGACUCCUACGGGAGGCAGCAGUGGGGAAUAUUGCACAAUGGGCGGAAGCCUGAUGCAGCAACGCCGCGUGCGGGAUGACGGCCUUCGGGGUGUAAACCGCUUUCGCCUGUGACGAAGCGUGAGUGACGGUAAUGGGUAAAGAAGCACCGGCUAACUACGUG
rnacentral:rRNA from 1 species